ACGUCAAGUCCUCAUGGCCCUUAUGGGCUGGGCUACACACGUGCUACAAUGGCGGUGACAAAGGGAUGCAAUAGGGCAACCUGGAGCAAAUCCCUAAAAACCGUCUCAGUUCGGAUUGUUCUCUGCAACUCGAGAGCAUGAAGUUGGAAUCGCUAGUAAUCGUAGAUCAGCAUGCUACGGUGAAUACGUUCCCGGGCCUU
rnacentral:rRNA from 1 species